AUGGCACUCGCCAUGGCCGCCCAGCUCCCUUUCUACCUGCUCCUCCUUCCCCUCCUAGCCAUAGCCCCGCUCCUCUACUUGGCGGUGUCCCGCGAGAGGCCCGGCUCCGGCCGGCGGCUGCCCCCGUCGCCCUGGGCGCUGCCGGUGAUCGGCCACCUGCACCACCUCGCCGGCGCGCUCCCGCACCGCGCCAUGCGGGACCUCGCGCGGCGCCACGGCCCGCUCAUGCUGCUCCGCUUCGGCGAGGUCCCCGUGGUGGUCGCCUCCUCCCCGGACGCGGCGCGGGAGAUCAUGAAGACCCACGACGUCACCUUCGCCACGCGGCCCAUCAGGCCCAUGCAGCGCCGCAUCAUGGAGGGCGCCGAGGGCCUCCUCUUCUCGCCCUACGGCGACGCGUGGCGCCAGCUCCGUAAGAUCUGCACCGUCGAGCUCCUCAGCACCCGCCGCGUCCACUCCUUCCGCCCCAUCCGCGAGGACGAGAUCGGCCACCUCCUCCGCUCCGUCGCGUCAGAGGCGUCGCCGGCGAGGCCGGUGAACCUGUCCGAGCGGAUAGCGGCGUUCGUCGCGGACUCCUCUGUGCGUGCCAUCAUCGGCAGCCGGACGCCGAACCGCGACACGUUCCUGAGGCUGCUGGAGGAGGGGCUCAAGGUCAUCCCUGGGAUGAGCCUGCCGGACAUUUUCCCGUCGUCGCGUCUCGCGAUGCGCCUCAGCCGCGUGCCCGGACAGAUCGAGCGUCGCCGUGGCGCCAUGCUCGGUUUCAUCGACACUAUCAUCGAGGAGCGCGAGAACAGAGACGCCGCCGCUACCGGCAUCGAGGAACACGACGAGGACUUACUUGACGUGCUCCUGAGGCUCCAGAAGGACAUGGACUCCCAGUAUCCCCUCACCACCUUGAACAUCAAAACCGUUAUCAUUGACGUGUUUGCUGCUGGCAGCGAGACCUCGUCCACGAUGAUCCAGUGGGCGAUGGCCGAGCUGAUGCGUAACCCGACGGUGAUGCAGAAGGCGCAAGAAGAGGUCCGGAGAGAGCUCGCCGGCCACGACAAGGUGACGGAGGAUGGCCUGACGAACCUGCACUACCUGCAGCUCGUCAUCAAGGAGACGCUCCGGCUGCACCCCGCGGCGCCGCUGCUCCUGCCGCAUGAGUGCCGCAGCCCGUGCGAAGUGCUCGGGUUCGACGUGCCCGAGGGCGCGAUGGUGCUCGUGAACGCGUGGGCAAUCGGCAGGGACCCGGCGCACUGGGAUGCGCCGGAGGAGUUCAUACCGGACAGGUUCCAGGAACAAGGUGGCAUGGGCGGCAGAGACUUCAAGGGAACGAACUUCGAGUUCGCGCCGUUCGGCGCUGGCAGGAGGAUGUGCCCCGGCAUGUCGUUCGGUCUGGCCCACGUAGAGCUCGCGCUGGCGGCGCUGCUGUUCCACUUCGACUGGCAGCUGCCGGAGGGGAUGGCCCCCGAGGAGAUGGACAUGACCGAGGCGGCCGGGAUCACCACGCGCCGGCGGUCUGACUUGUUGGUGAUUUGCAUCCCACGUGUCCCAGUGUCGAUCGAGUAA
rnacentral:rRNA from 1 species